UAAAAGGAAAAAGUAGAGAGAUUUUCCAUAUUGGGGGAUUUUACAGGCUGGGUUUGCCUUUGCCGAUGGCCUAAUCCAAUGCUAGUCGACUAGAGAUAGGCAACAAAAUUUUCAUUUUAAUGCACUUUAUCUAUAAUUUAUCCUACUUCUAAAAUUAGCAAUCGACCACAUGCUUUGAUCCAACACUUCACAUUUUUCUUGGACCUAGCCUUGACAUUGGUAAAGAGGAUAAAAAAAGUAAAAGAUGGAAAACUUAUAAAUCUAAAGGUUAAGUUAAAAAAUUAAAAAGUGUUUAUAAAUUUUAACAAUUAAAUUAACAAAUUUUCUAUAUUCAUUGCUUUCCACCUGGGUCUAAAACUCUUAAUAAUGCCUCCAUUCAAGCCUGACGCAGACAAAAGACGAAAAUUUUGGGCUCCUCUCAAGCCUAGUCCCAUAUAAGAGACAAUCUUGGACCUGUCAGCUCGGAUCAUUAAUUAAUCCAUGAAUGCAACCAAGGAGAAUUGGUUGCAGACUUCCAGUUGAGGAUGAUGCACAUUCUGCCUGCGAAAUGAAGAAAAAACAAGUCGAGAGUAUGUUUCAAUUUCAAGAAACUCAAUGUUCAGACUUGUAGCAAUAAACAAGUCUUUUAACAGCUUGAAAUUCUGCCAUAUUGUUAGUGGAUUUAACAAAAUUAAAAGAAAAGGCGGAAAUGAAAAUCACCAUUAUAUCCACGAAAGAUGCCAGCGCAACCGGGAUUGCCCAAAGAGGCACCAUUCGUGUUUAGCUGAAUCCAGGGGGUAUUAUUAGGGGGCCAACCAUUUGAUAUUGGUUUUCUUAUAUUGACAGAUUUCUUUUCUUUAAUUUGUUUGACAUGGAUAUUCUACUUUCGUGAAAUUUGAACUUAAUACGUGAUUAAGAUGGUUGUCUUAUACAAAUUGGCUAGUAAUAGUAUCUUAUUUCCAUAAUUUCUCUUUUUAAUUAAUUAUGUGAGAAGAAUCACUAAACUUCUUUCUCAUUCUCUAUAUGUGUAGGACUUAUAAAUUGUAAAAAUUGCACUUGUAAAUGGUGAUUAAAAUUGUGUUGAAAAAUAAUUUAAGGGAGUCGGAUCCCAUCUUCUUGCACCAGAUAUGGAUCUAGAAUUUUCAUUAAAUGGAGGCAAAUAUAGUAUAAAAAUUUACUUAUAAAGCUAAUUUAUUCUUUCAAAGAAAGUUUAUUUUAGUUCUCAUAAAAAUGUAGUUGAAGAGGGUAAAAGGAGCUAUGAAUAGUAUAUUAGCUAUGAAUGGUAUAUUAUGAUUUCGGUAUUUUUGAAAGAAGAUGUCUUUUAUUUUGUAUAAAGUUUUUUGAUUAUCAUCAAGUGAUUAAUUUAAUUGAUUAAGAUUCGUCUUUGUUAAAAAGAGAUUUUGAAUUUGAGUCUCGAUAAUCGCUUGUUAAAAUUAUAUCAAAUACAUGACUUAUAAUAAUUUAUCUUAAACUAAUAAAUACAGUACAUUUUAUCAUAAUUUAAAAAAUUAAAUAAUUUAUUUAUCUCGAAAUUUUUUUUAAUUUUUUUUAUUUAAAUAAAUAUCAUUAUUUCAUGAAUAACAAAUAGAGAUCCAUAAUUUUUGAAAACCGUUAUUUAUAUAUGUCUGUUAAAUAAAAAAAGUUUUUUAUUUAAAUAGAUAUCAUUAUUUCAUGAAUAACAAAUAGAGAUCCAAAGUUUUUGAAAACCGUUAUUUAUAUAUGUAUGUUAAAUUUUUUUAAUCUAUAAGUGGCUCCUUCAAAAAAUUUAUAUCUAUAUAUAAAAGUAAUAUUCAAAUUGUCGUGUUUAUGAUACUGUUCAUACAGUCUCUCGAUUUUAUGUCAUUUGCCAUUUUUCAUUGGCAGUCUAAUAAGUUUUAUUUAUUAUUUUAUUAAUGAUGGGUAAAGUUAAAAAAUGAAGACAGAAGCUUUGACAAGUAUAUGGAGGGAAGAUGGAAAAACAAAGAAACAAAUAAAGAGAAAGGUACAAGGGAGGUCAGGCCAAAGCGCUUCCUUCAUCAUUCGCUGUUCGCUAUGGAUGGAUGGCCAAAUUCGUUGGUUUUUAAAAGUUGGGGGAAUUAACCAAAAUGUAAAAAGUAAAGGGAGUGAAGAAAAAACGUACCCAGAUCAAACGGAGGGUGUCAAUGGGAUCAGAGAUGAGAUUGAUGGAGUAGACGUUGUAGGCAACCAAAAUCCAACACAAAAUCUAACAGUCAAGAGUAAUCCACAGCAAACAUGGGUCAAAACUAUGGAAGAUAAUAUUGUUGAAUGGGAACUCUUUUCCUCCUCUUUCGUUAUUUUGUUUUGUUGCAUUCCUUUUCUCAUUUUUGUCUAAUUGGAAGCAAAACCAAACUUUCAUACUUGGGCUUGCGAUGGACCGCGCUUUG
rnacentral:lncRNA from 1 species